rnacentral:rRNA from 1 species
ACGGGUGAGUAAUAUAUCGGAACGUACCCAAGAGUGGGGGAUAACGUAGCGAAAGUUACGCUAAUACCGCAUACGAUCUAAGGAUGAAAGCAGGGGAUCGCAAGACCUUGUGCUCCUGGAGCGGCCGAUAUCUGAUUAGCUAGUUGGUGGGGUAAAGGCCCACCAAGGCAACGAUCAGUAGCUGGUCUGAGAGGACGACCAGCCACACUGGAACUGAGACACGGUCCAGACUCCUACGGGAGGCAGCAGUGGGGAAUUUUGGACAAUGGGGGCAACCCUGAUCCAGCAAUGCCGCGUGAGUGAAGAAGGCCUUCGGGUUGUAAAGCUCUUUUGUCAGGGAAGAAAAGGCUGUGGCUAAUAUCUACAGCUGCUGACGGUACCUGAAGAAUAAGCACCGGCUAACUACGUGCCAGCAGCCGCGGUAAUACGUAGGGUGCAAGCGUUAAUCGGAAUUACUGGGCGUAAAGCGUGCGCAGGCGGUUUCGUAAGUCUGUCGUGAAAUCCCCGGGCUUAACCUGGGAAUGGCGAUGGAGACUGCGAGGCUAGAGUUUGGCAGAGGGGGGUAGAAUUCCACGUGUAGCAGUGAA